rnacentral:lncRNA from 1 species
GCUGAGAGGGCACGGCUCCGAGGCUAGCGGUAUUUUUUAGAGAUUGAUGGAAGCAGAAACCAAAACUCUUCCCCUGGAGAAUGCAUCCAUCCUUUCAGAGGGCUCUCUACAAGAAGGACACCGAUUAUGGAUUGGCAACCUGGAUCCCAAAAUCACAGAGCUCUACAGGGAUGCUCCCCAGAGUGGUUUCCAUUCCCACCUCUCCUUGUCUGGAUGAAAAUCUAAAGCAUGGAAACAGUGCCAGCCAUGUUGGCUGCAGCUCUCUGUAAUGAGGCUCCUGUGCUGCUCCUGUCCUGAUGCUCAUCGAAGGCUCACAGGGCAUCUGCCCUGGGGCUUGUGUCAGAAUGAGCGUAUGACUGUAGUCCUGAAUUACAUCUUUAACAGGAACACUGGAUUGAGACUUUCCCACAUUUCAGUCAAAGGCAGAUACUAAAUGCCAACUGUGUGUCAGGGCCUUGCUGGCUAAAAGUGCUUUGCUGUGCUGUACCCGUAGUAUCCCUAUUUCUCUAUUGCCAAAACAAUUUUCUCUAUCUUCCUUCU